GACGAACGCUGGCGGCGUGCUUAACACAUGCAAGUCGAACGAUGAAGGAGAGCUUGCUCUCCGGAUUAGUGGCGAACGGGUGAGUAACACGUGACUAACCUGCCCCUUUCUCUGGGAUAACGCUCCGAAAGGAGUGCUAAUACCGGAUACGAACUCUGAACACAUGUUCGGAGUUGGAAAGUUUUUCGGAAAGGGAUGGAGUCGCGGCCUAUCAGCUUGUUGGUGAGGUAACGGCUCACCAAGGCGACGACGGGUAGCCGGCCUGAGAGGGCGACCGGCCACACUGGGACUGGGACCCGGCCCAGACUCCUACGGGAGGCAGCAGUGGGGAAUAUUGCACAAUGGGCGAAAGCCUGAUGCAGCGACGCCGCGUGAGGGAUGAAGGUCUUCGGAUUGUAAACCUCUUUCAGUAGGGACGAAGCGAAAGUGACGGUACCUAAAGAAGAAGCACCGGCUAACUACGUGCCAGCCGCCGCGGUAA
rnacentral:rRNA from 1 species